rnacentral:lncRNA from 1 species
UUGAAAAUGGAAAGUUGGAGGGGUUCAUAGGAUAAGGAGUCGUGGGGCUGAGGAGAAAACUCCAACAUGUGAGGGUCUGGCUCGCUCCCUAGAGCCUUCCCCCACCUCCUCACCUCCACAGGUCCCUUGGUCCUAGGAGGGGAACAGAGGUGUGUGAGGCCAGGGGAGUUUAGGACAGGCUUAAAAAAAAAAUUGUUAACAAACUGUAUUUUCCUGACUUUUAGGCAUUCCCUCUCCCCUCACAGGUCCUGGGAUGACCCGAGCAAUCCUGUGCCUGCUACUCUGCUGCCCAGGACACUGAGAGAACCAGUGUUCUCUGGGAGGAAACCACUGGUCAUGGUCUUACUGCUAUGCCCUCUCUGAUCCAGGGAUACAGCAGUGAAAGGUCACCCCACCUGCAGGAAGGGGUCGCUGACUCCAGAUAUGCUGUGUUCUGUGGAGUAUCCCAUUGUCACCAGAGUCCGGAGGAUGUGUACCAGCUGGGGUACCACCUGGAGGGAGGGCACAACUUUGGGCAUUCGUUCUAAUCCUCUCCAGCUAAAGCCCCAUUCCUUCCCCACUGACCCUGUCUUCCAGGCCCAGGGCCUGCCCCUUCACCAGCCCACCUUUCGGAAGUGCCUGAGGGCUGCAGGGCUUCGUUCGCAGAGCUCCGUGAUCAGCGUGAUGGUGCCCAGCAGGAUGCCUGGGGUCAGCGUCGGGGAAGUGAAUGGUGGGGGCCAGGGGCAAGAGAGUCUAUUGCGUGUGUGCCUGUGUGUGUGCACUACCCUUCUCCUGUGAGCUGGGGUUCCCAUCCGAUUUUCAAUUCUUCUGUCCAUAGACCUGAAGCAAAGGAUGGGGGGCCCCACAGCCUUACCAUGGUGACGCUCAUGAAGCAGUUGGGCACAGGGUGGGAGGAAGACACUGGAGAGUUCAGGGACCUUCCGGAUCAUGUGCACUGCAGUCAGAAUAGCCUGCAGAGGUCAGGGGCCUCAGACAGGGGUCAGAGGAGAUGGACCCCUGCAUCUACUACUAUAUAGCACGCAGCAGGCAGUGUGCAGGAGCACGUGCCAGGAGUCCCGCCAUCUCACCUUCUUGCGCACGUAGGGACUGGGCUGCAGGAGCAGUUUCUCCACCUCUGGGGCCAGGUCUCGGCACAUCUCAGCAGAGCCCAUGGUGCUCAAAGUGCACAAGGCCAGGCCUUGUACUGGCUGAAUCCCCUGGCUCAGGUCACUGCAGGGUUUGGGAGGACGGUCAGUCAAACCUCUGAGAAAAUCAGUCCUUUUCAAUACCCACAACAGGCAGUCCCCUGGGAUUUCCAAGGUCCCUACUCUCCCAUCUCCCUGAUUCCAAGUGAUUGCCAGAACCCUCUCACUUCUUGAUGCUGUUGGUAAUGAGCAGGUGGGCAUCGUGCCUCUCAUCCAAUAGAAGCAUGGCCCCCAGGUAGCCCACCCUCUUGUCUGUGAAUCUGGAGGAGGCGAUCAGUUUCAGGCACUCCAUCUAUAGUGAAGGGGGCAGACCAGGAAGAGGCAGGGGUGAAACCAUAGACACUCACAUCCCUGUUCCAUCUUCCUCUUUAAAACCAGAUUAACCUGUGGGGCAUCAUAUCUCAUCACUCUCCCUUCAACAAGAGGAGAAGCUUAGGAAAUUCAGGCGUUAGUGGGUAGGAGGAACUAGGAGUUGAGGAGGAUGGGAGCGGAGAGGAGGAGAUGCCUGCCCUAAAGGAGGCUGGCCAGAGAAUGAAGGGUUCAGGCCAGCUGAUGACCAGUAGGGGUAGCAAUGGGGAAAGAGGUUUGCAGUGCAGGCUGUGAAGACUCUGAAAUUGUAGAAUUUAAAAAACCAGGGCAUAAACAGGUGAGAGAGUCUGGGACUCUGCCCCACUAGCCUUCAUCAAGCUCAGGAGGGAGGUAUUCCUGGCCAGUACCUGUCCAAAGUGGGCGGGGUAGCCCAACAUGUGGACGUAGAGCAGUUUGGCCAGCUGCCGGUGCCUGUGCACUGGGUCCCCGUCGCGGAAGGAGGCCCGGAUGUGGGCACACUCCUUUUGGAUCACCUCCCGCUCCUGGGCCUGAGUCUUGGCCCCGCGAAUCUCUUCGAUGAGGUCCUGAAGCUUCAGCGAAGGCACCACCAUCCUGACUGGCAGAGUCCGGGAGUGGAGAAACACUCUCUGGUCGGGCGUGCCUGGGCUUUCGGCCCAGGCCCGUCCUGUGUCAAGACCCUAAGAGCCCGGGUCCCACAGGCAGCGGCAGCGGCAGCGACAGCCUGCCUACCCCAGGACUCCAGCCUCACCUGGCUUCUGCCUCAACUCCGCUCCUCUGCCCCCCAGCGCUUCCUGGUACGGGGCCGAGCAGGGCCUUCCUGAAUCCUCUGACCUCGGGCCUCAGGCUUUAGCGGAGAGACAGCAUGAUAGGCCUGGAGUUCUUCAAGAGGCCUCCUCGCACAUCCUUACCACCCGGAGAGCCUCAGUUUGGAUUUGAAGCCAUCGCACCCCAAAGGAGAUGACAAUCCCCC